rnacentral:rRNA from 1 species
GAUGAACGCUGGCGGCGUGCCUAAUACAUGCAAGUCGAGCGAACAGAUGAGGAGCUUGCUCCUCUGACGUUAGCGGCGGACGGGUGAGUAACACGUGGAUAACCUACCUAUAAGACUGGGAUAACUUCGGGAAACCGGAGCCAAUACCGGAUAAUAUAUUGAACCGCAUGGUUCAAUAGUGAAAGACGGUUUUGCUGUCACUUAUAGAUGGAUCCGCGCCGCAUUAGCUAGUUGGUAAGGUAACGGCUUACCAAGGCAACGAUGCGUAGCCGGCCUGAGAGGGUGAUCGGCCACACUGGAACUGAGACACGGUCCAGACUCCUACGGGAGGCAGCAGUAGGGAAUCUUCCGCAAUGGGCGAAAGCCUGACGGAGCAACGCCGCGUGAGUGAUGAAGGUCUUCGGAUCGUAAAACUCUGUUAUUAGGGAAGAACAAAUGUGUAAGUAACUAUGCACGUCUUGACGGUACCUAAUCAGAAAGCCACGGCUAACUACGUG